GGAGGGUGCAAGCGUUAAUCGGAAUUACUGGGCGUAAAGCGCACGCAGGCGGUUUGUUAAGUCAGAUGUGAAAUCCCCGGGCUCAACCUGGGAACUGCAUCUGAUACUGGCAAGCUUGAGUCUCGUAGAGGGGGGUAGAAUUCCAGGUGUAGCGGUGAAAUGCGUAGAGAUCUGGAGGAAUACCGGUGGCGAAGGCGGCCCCCUGGACGAAGACUGACGCUCAGGUGCGAAAGCGUGGGGAGCAAACAGGAUUAGAUACCCUGGUAGUCCACGCCGUAAACGAUGUCGACUUGGAGGUUGUGCCCUUGAGGCGUGGCUUCCGGAGCUAACGCGUUAAGUCGACCGCCUGGGGAGUACGGCCGCAAGGUUAAAACUCAAAGGAAUUGACGG
rnacentral:rRNA from 1 species